ensembl:snRNA U6 U6 spliceosomal RNA
GUGUUACUUCGGUAUCACAUCUACUAAAAUUGGAACGAUACAGAGAAGAUUAGCAUGGCCCCUGCGCAAAGGAAG